GUGUUUAUAUUUAUACUGUGUGUUUGAUUUUUGAUUUCUUGCAAAUUCUAACUUACACUUUAUUGUAUUAAUACAGUUUCAGCUGAUAAUGGAGUGACUACGACUACACCAACCCUCAGUGUUAAACAAGGACAAUGUAAGCCAUAUUUUAUUUUUAUUUUUUGUUUAUUAGUUUCUUCUAUGGGAAAACCAAGACUUUAAAGUAACAAUAUAGGGUCAGGAGCACAAACCAGUAUUCCUGACCCUAUAGUGUUAAAUCAGUCAUUUAGGUGGCUUGCACCUAAACACCCUUUAAAGGUAAUAAAAUUUGCCAUGUUUCCAAUGCUGUGUGGCUCCGCUGGCCCCUUAUCCACCGCCUUGCUGACAUCAGAAUUUAUUUAUUUAUUUUUUCACAUUUUGAAAAGGCCCUAGUGGUGAAACGCGUAAAUGGCUUUAUUAAUAGUGUAUUUUAUAUAAUUAAAGAUUUUUUGGUUACUAUUUGUGCCAACUAUCUUUCUACACACUUUUCUACUUUUACCUGGCAUCUCAUCGAUUUUUAUCGCGUGCUUACAAGCUUAUCCGAGGUGUUACCAUAGUGCAGUUGGACUGCACUAUACUUGUAAGUACAUUUUUAUUUGUUUAACAACUUUUACACCCUGCCAAACAGUGAGCACUAUUAGCUGUUUUUAUAUAUAUCCCUUUCCUGAGAGUUGGACAUCAUUCCGCCCAGAGGACAAUCAUCCAUAUAUCCCAUAAGUGGGGAUCAUUCCGCUGUACGCCUGUUAUACAUGAGCUAGCUAUAGCUCAUUUAAAUGUGAGUGGAAUAUAUAUCUUUUUCUCACAUAUAUUGACCCUUACACUCUUAAUGAUUGGUCUCUUAUCUUGUAUCUUCCACAUCACGAGAACAAUCAGACUACUAUAAUCUGAGAGGAGACCCAUCACCAAAAGCACCCUAAAAUACAUCUAUUGCCACAGUGCAACUUCUAAAUUUACUUCUAGCUAUAUAUUUAUUUUUGGUUUUCUACUCUGCAGCUACUGAAUUUCAAUGUGACUAUACCGCUAAUUACCAAUCACCACGGGUGGAAUGGAAGUUUGUGAAUAAUGACCAGGAAACAAG